UGGGGAAUAUUGGACAAUGGGGGCAACCCUGAUCCAGCGACGCCGCGUGUGUGAAGAAGGCCUGCGGGUUGUAAAGCACUUUUAGUGGGGAUGAAAAGCUCAGUUCUAAUACAGCUGGGUCUUGACCUAACCCAAAGAAAAAGCACCGGCUAACUCUGUGCCAGCAGCCGCGGUAAUACAGAGGGUGCAAGCGUUAAUCGGAAUUACUGGGCGUAAAGCGUGCGUAGUCGGUUAUCUAAGUCGGAUGUGAAAUCCCCGGGCUCAACCUGGGAAUUGCAUUCGAUACUGGAUAGCUAGAGUUCGGCAGAGGGAAGCGGAAUUUCGGGUGUAGCGGUGAAAUGCGUAGAUAUCCGAAGGAACAUCAGUGGCGAAAGCGGCUUCCUGGACCAGAACUGACGAU
rnacentral:rRNA from 1 species